UUUUCGGUUGUUUUUGUUUUUUUCGUCAUUUUUGGCGUUCCGGUAUUCCAUUAUUUAUUUGUUUUUUUUUGGUUCGAAGAAAUUCCGUUUAGUUUAUUAGGUUAUCCGUGUUGGUACAGUUUCCUUAGUUUAAUUCCUAAAAUAAGUAAAAAAUUAAUAGAUAUUUAGAUUGAAUAAUUACAUUUUGGUUAUCGUUGUGAUUUUGGUCUUGUCACUGUGUCCUCCAGCUCAUAUUCCGUGUCCUAUCCUUGAAAAUUUUCCUGUCCGUGUUUCCCUUGUGUUUCACCAGUGUCCAGAUCCAGUUGUUCCCGUUUUCUACCGGCUUUUCAGUAGCCUCCAUCCUUUUCCAUUAUUGUGUUUUCUUUUGAUGAUUUUCAUUCCAUUCCUGUGUUUUCCUUCAGUUGUGGUUUCCAAGAGUUGUCCUAGUCGUUUUGCAGAUUCCUUCAUUAUUUGUCUCCAAUGGUCCCGUUCAAUAUUCCUCCGUCCUUUUUGUCCUAGUCCCUUUUUGGUCCCGUUCCUGGUCAUCCUCGUCCUUCGUCGUUGUUUGGAUCGUUUCCUCAGCAACAAUCCAGUCCAAUCGGUGAUGCUGUUCCCCUUGUCGAACCUAAUCUGGGAAAGAAAAAGAGAAAAAAAAGCUUAACACCUAAGAAUUGGAACGACUCACCAUCUUCACUUUCCUUUUCCAUCGUUGUCCAUAUCGCUCACAAGGUUUUUUCUUCAUAAACACGGAAUCGUCCGUGUGAAACACAUAAAUUAAAAAAAAAAAAAAAAAAAAAAAAAAAAAAAAAAAAAAAAAACAAACUUCACUGACCAAACCAUCGCUCCGGUUUGUUUACUUCUUAAACACUGUUUAGUUGGCAAUAGCUUGAGUGACUUGUGUGAGUGUAUUGGGAGAAUGAGUGUACAUCGCUUGUAAGCGAGGGGUGCGUGAAUGUGUGAUUGGUUGAUUAUUUAGUUCUGUUUUGUGAUUUUGUUAGGAAAAAGGUCAUCUCAUCGUUGGAGCAUGCCAACGAUUGAGAAUGGCGAACUUUAAGAUUUUUCUUCGGUGGAAGCACGCAAUCUUUGGAGUUUCCAAAGUAGCUUCCAUAUCCGAAGAAAUUUCGGGCUAAUUUAAGAUGGAUAUUGUUUUCAUUCCUUUUUACUCGGGUAAAGUUCUGAGGUCGGAAUGAACAAUAUUCAUCGAGUUAUUUUUUCGACGUAGGUCGAUAGUACGUUUUUUUUUACAUCUCCAGAAACACUUCUAUUAAUGAGAAGUGGAGGAUGUAAGGAUUUUAGUUAUAGUUUUGGGUAAUUUUGAGUAUAUUUUUUCUUCAUUUUGUGUGAAUAGGAUUGUCAACUAAUAGUAGUUCUUGAAGGUCAGAUCGAUUGAUGUAUUUUCGAGUUUUUCUUGUUUCUCAGUUCAGUAGUUAGUUAGUUGCUGUAAUGCCAGUAAUUUUUGAUGGGCGUUUAGAGUUAACCUUUUACAGUGGUUCGCAUGACAUUUCGCUGGAGACCGGAGCUGUAAAGCGUUGAUGGUCAGUUACAGACAGAUUACCCGAUCUGAUACUGGAGAUAGAGGAUGAGUCAAUUCAGUUUGACGAUGACCACAUAUGACCCCGAAAAUGUUAGUGAACAUUCUGCGAAGGGAGACUCUAUUUUCGCCUUCGAAAAUUUGAUUGGUUUAUGCCAAUCAAAUUUUCGAAAAUUCAGCAGGGAAUGAUGUAGCGUGGUACUGGUUUCGACAUUUGGAAGCCCCUCGUUUAGUUAUUUUGAAGUUCAGAUUCUACACCAGCUCACUUGUGUGAAUCGGAGCCUCUCUCUUCUUUCAAUGUAUUGGAUGUAAGGCAACGCGAGUGCCGCUCCUCUUUUUAGAUUUGAGCAACUUGGCAUAAUGGGUGCUGGAUGUGAUUCGACGGCUGUGUUUUAGCCAAGACACCCAAAUACCAAUACACCCGAAAGACUCAUGCUUUCCUUUUUUCAUUUUUUUCGUUUGGAUAUUUCCCCCAAAUAGCAGAGUCUUUCGGCGGAGGUUUUCUUGUUCUUGGAACCUCAGAAACCCGGCAAGCGAUUCGAUUUGAACUGCGCUCGGGAGGUUAAAGGUGAUCGCCCGAGAAUAUUUGAAUAUGAGACCGAUGUAGGGACAAGGGAACUUGGCAUGACUUGCGUGAUUAUUAACUUCGUUAAUAAUUACGCAGUUCCGGUCCUAUUGAUUAGUACGCUGAUCUGAGGACUAAAAAUUAUGUUCUUCCAUUUCAACGUGGACCGUGGAAGAGGUCGGAGUGGUGUUAUUUUCUUGAACCGCGAAUUUCACAAAAGCUGGAUAGUCGAUAGAUUUAGGCAAAGUUGAAGUUGUACCCUCCCGUGCAUCCGUUAAAUACAUCCGGAGGAAGCGCCGCUACUGACCCCACGGAGUCAACGUUGGAAUUGACCAAAAAUCCAGCCAAGGCUCAAACCUUUCCGCCUGGUUCGAAGACUGCGCUGCGCGAACAAUACUGGCAGCCGCAACAGGCGUAAACCGGAAGUUAGGACCGCUCAUCGCACGCCCAGCUAGGAGUAGAACCCGUCGACGUAGCGAAUCACAUAAAUCCAUGGUAGUGAGUACCUUUUUUCCUUAUCCAUUAUUAACAUGCGCAUGUAGGAUAAGUGAUAUUGAGCAAAACGCUAUAAAUAGCUACUAACCACGAAAGCCACACAAUUCAAAGCCAUACACACACAAAUAAUGCAUGCAGUGGAGAGCUCACUCCAUAUGACUGUGUAAUUUCAAUCGCUAUAAGCGAAGCCAUUCAUGAAUAGCCUAACGGAGUAAAUAGCAAGCGCGCCGUCUUCUCAACCUAGAUGUGAUGAGAUCGAGACUUGGGAGGAAAAUUAGAGUAGAGUAAUGAAAUUUGAUUAAUGUUCUUAGAGUAAAUAAAUUUUCUAUGUUGAUGGAUGUUCUUUCCUGAUUGACUAAAUGUUCAAUGUAGAAGAGAAGUGUUGAUGAAGCUAAUUGAUUUAAGUGAUUGAGAAUGUUGUGAGAGAUGUUUUGAUAUUUAAUGUAGUGUAAAAUAAACUUUUCCGUUCGAUUUAUAUGUUAAGGUCUAAGAAACAAAUGUGUAUUUACUGGCUCGCGGUGGCCUAAACACCGACGAACCCGUUCACUCUUCUUUUUGUGUUAAUUAGGUCACGAGUCAGGGUGGAGACUCCUUUUUUUGUUUACUUCCACUCUCACUCCUACGCUCCGAAGCGAGCUCUGAAGUUGAGGGGAAGAUCAUUAUUAGUAGGUCCAGUGAGGAGACCUCAGCAUAAGUGGUAGUCAGUGGGAUCGACCCAGACUUCCUUGUGUCUGCAUUACGUCUCGUGGACAAACGAUAUCGCGGGUUCUCCCGAGAGUGCAGGAAAAAAGUCGCGAAGCUAACCGGGUUGGUGAGGAGAAAAGGACAAACCCGCCCUCAGUGGGUGUCUCAUUGCCGGGCAAGGAAAAUAACACGGCGGUCGGUCUCCCUCACGGGAGUGGCGCUUAAGCCGACCGCUUAUCUGCGCAAAUUCCCCGGUAGCGACGGGCUCGCGCGCUCC